CUGCCGCUGCCGCCGCCGCUGGCUAGGUACCUGUAUGGAGACUACGACCGCUGCUCCACCAAGCAGGUCUUCGAGAACCUCCACGGCAACAUCUCCCUCGACCCGACAGAACAAAAGGGCCAUUGUUAAACUGGUCUAGGCGGCAAGAUAAUUACAGGGUUAACAGAGGGAAUUGUUUACCUGCAUAAGCACUCCAGGUUCUGGCUUAUCCAUAGAGACUUGAAACCACAUAAUGUCCUCUUGGAUUGUAACAUGAUCCCAAAGAUUGCUGAUUUUGGAUCAUCUAGAGCACUGCGUUCAGAUGUAGCAGAGGAGAGCACGAGUAGGGUCAUUGGAACCAGUGGUUACAAAGCUCCGAAGUAUGCAUCUUGAGGAGUUUACUCGAUGAAGACAGAUGUGUUCAACUUUGGCGUUUUGGUUCUGGUGAUUAUUAGUGGCCGAAAGAACACCAUACUCGACAAGCGAGGGGAUAUUGUUGGUGAUCUUGUACGAGAAGUGAGACAAGACUGGCAUAUGUGGAAGGAGCAAAGGUUGCAUGAGCUUGUGGAUCCAUUGUUAGCGAAUGGAUAUAGAGUCGCUGAGAUAAGAAAAUGCUCUCAUGUGGCAAUGCCUUGUGCUCAGGAAGAUCCAGCAGACUGGCCCACCAUGACAGAUGUUGCUGCAAUGCUAAACUCUAAAAGCAUAAGCUUACCAAUGGAGCCUAAGCAGCCUGCUGUGCUGAUCCAUGGGUGUGCCGACUAUAUAAGAUCGGUUGCAAGACUGUACAGUGUGUAU